GUGAUCCCAUUAGCUUAAUCUUGGGGCAAUUGGGCCCCUGAAAGAUUGAAAUUGGGCCGAAUGGAGCUAACCAUUCGGACCCUGAUUGCACCAGGAGGUGCAACCGCCUAGGCCAGGAGGUGGCACCGCCUGGGCUAAGUCUCCCAGCAAGACUGGGCGGUGCAACCGCCCCAGCCAGGAGGUGGCACCGCCUGAGCUCAGUCUUCGAGCUAGACUGGGCGGUGCAACCUCCCUGACAGAGAGGUGGCACCGCCUGAGCUCGG
rnacentral:lncRNA from 1 species